AGAGUUUGAUCAUGGCUCAGAACGAACGCUGGCGGCAUGCCUAACACAUGCAAGUCGAACGAGACCUUCGGGUCUAGUGGCGCACGGGUGCGUAACGCGUGGGAACCUGCCCUUAGGUUCGGAAUAACUCAGAGAAAUUUGAGCUAAUACCGGAUAAUGUCUUCGGACCAAAGAUUUAUCGCCUUUGGAUGGGCCCGCGUAGGAUUAGCUAGUUGGUGGGGUAAAGGCCUACCAAGGCGACGAUCCUUAGCUGGUCUGAGAGGAUGAUCAGCCACACUGGGACUGAGACACGGCCCAGACUCCUACGGGAGGCAGCAGUGGGGAAUAUUGGACAAUGGGCGAAAGCCUGAUCCAGCAAUGCCGCGUGAGUGAUGAAGGCCUUAGGGUUGUAAAGCUCUUUUACCAGGGAUGAUAAUGACAGUACCUGGAGAAUAAGCUCCGGCUAACUCCGUGCCAGCCGCCGCGGUAAUAC
rnacentral:rRNA from 1 species